rnacentral:rRNA from 1 species
UACAGAGGUCUCAAGCGUUGUUCGGAUUCAUUGGGCGUAAAGGGUGCGUAGGCGGCGCGCUAAGUCGGGUGUGAAAACUGGAGGCUCAACCUCCAGCUGUCGACGGAAACCGUGUGGCUAGAGUCCGGAAGAGGAGAGUGGAAUUCCUGGUGUAGCGGUGAAAUGCGCAGAUAUCAGGAAGAACACCAAUGGCGAAGGCAGCUCUCUGGGACGGUACUGACGCUGAGACGCGAAAGCGUGGGGAGCGAACAGG